rnacentral:rRNA from 1 species
UACGUAGGGUGCAAGCGUUGUCCGGAAUUAUUGGGCGUAAAGAGUUCGUAGGCGGUUUGUCGCGUCGUUUGUGAAAACCCGGGGCUCAACUGCGGGCUUGCAGCCGAUACGGGCAGGCUAGAGUUCGGUAGGGGAGACUGGAAUUCCUGGUGUAGCGGUGAAAUGCGCAGAUAUCAGGAGGAACACCGGUGGCGAAGGCGGGUCUCUGGGCCGAUACUGACGCUGAGGAGCGAAAGCGUGGGGAGCGAACAGG